rnacentral:rRNA from 1 species
CCUACGGGAGGCAGCAGUGGGGAAUAUUGGGCAAUGGGCGCAAGCCUGACCCAGCAACGCCGCGUGAAGGAAGAAGGCUUUCGGGUUGUAAACUUCUUUUCUCAGGGACGAAGCAAGUGACGGUACCUGAGGAAUAAGCCACGGCUAACUACGUGCCAGCAGCCGCGGUAAUACGUAGGUGGCAAGCGUUAUCCGGAUUUACUGGGUGUAAAGGGGGUGUAGGCGGGAAAGCAAGUCAGAUGUGAAAACCAUGGGCUCAACCUGUGGCCUGCAUUUGAAACUGUUUUUCUUGAGUACUGGAGAGGCAGACGGAAUGCCUAGUGUAGCGGUGAAAUGCGUAGAUAUUAGGAGGAACACCAGUGGCGAAGGCGGUCUGCUGGACAGCAACUGACGCUGAGGCGCGAAAGCGUGGGGAGCAAACAGGAUUAGAUACCCCAGUAGUC